UGAAACUUUGGAAUUUCUUGGUUAAUUGUAGGUCACAUGAGAGAAGGGCUUGGAUUUGACACCCUGGGCAUGAUUCCUUCAAGUUCCUAACUGGAAUCUAGGGGCCAGGAAGAAGCUUGCCCAAAUGCAAGAAGAGUUCCCCCGGCACAGGACAGAAGUCUUCAUGAGGACAGGCAGAGAUCCCUGUAAAACUGCCUGUAUCUGCGUGAUGUUGCUAAUUUACCAAAGGUAAAUAUUGCACAGUCACCGUAGGUGCUCAAGCAAAUUGUAAUCCCUUCUUUGUUGGAACAUAAGCUAAACGACGUCAUCCAUCCUGUAUUAACUUACGUGAGGAUAAACUGAUGAAUGAAGCCAAAUACGGUCAGAUAAUGAACAAAAACACGAUGUCAAGAUUUAUUUGCAUUUACUUGGUAGCCCAGGAAAAAGAGCUGUGAUGGCUGCAGUGAUGAGCCCGAGGAAUGUUGCUGGCAUUGAGAGCUCUCCGCUGUGUCACACAUUCCUGUGUUUUGCAGUCACAUUAAGAUCUGAAGGAAUUAGCCCCAGGAAAGCUCAGAGUUUAUUUCAGAUGUACUACAGGAAAUGUCUGAGAUCGUUUGACAAAGUCCUGGUACCAAAAGCUGUGUAUACUAAGAAACACGAAGCAAAACAUUAGACACUUAACUCAGUGAUGUCUUUAUACAUUUUCCAUCACCCUAUAUAUCUGUGAACAACGAGGCCAAAAUGUACUAGGACAGGAUGUCAGUACUGAAGUACUGUGCAGUCUGCAAAUAGAUAUGAAAUUAGGGUGCUUUCAGUUCUCAGUCAGAACUUCUCCAUCCUAAUUGGAGUUAGAUAUUGGUUUGCUAUUACACAACAGAAGUGCAUUGUAAAUAAUGUUUUGAAUACCGCAAAUUUUCCUUUUCCUUUUUCUGUUUUGUUUUGUUUUGUAUCCUUCAAAAUGCUUCUACCAAUCCCUUGUUCAGAACAGAAAGUGGUCUUGCAGACCAGGCACAUUACCGUUGUUUCUCAAUCAAUCUGGGAUGUUGUGAGUUGUCUGAUGCUGAGAUUUUCCAUAAACCCAAGGUGCUGGUAAGGAUUUGGUUAGUCCCUGCAGUCCUUGAUAUGCUCUGAUAUUUUACGAAACUGAAUUUAGACAGCCAUGUAAUAAAUGGAUUUUAGAUGUAACAGCAGCAUUGCUCUCUUUUUGAAGCUAGUGGCAAACCUCCAGUUCCCCACCCAGUAUUCAAUGCCUGAAGAACUCAGCAAAGCUUCAGAGAUGGAAAAAAUGUAUUUUUACUAUUUACGCAGCAUUAGGUCUACAUCAAGUCAUGGUUCUUGGGAGCUGAAGCCUCUAAUCAAUAUGAAAGCCAAAUCUCUUGAGGGCACAGUGCUCAGAGGCACAGAGGCCCAGGUGGGAACAUAUGGGUGAACAAGGCAGGUACAGCUUCUGCCAGGGCCAUCGCAGGGCAAUGAUGGCAGGUGGGACAGCACUGGAAAUAUGGCCGGGAUGGUGCAGGCUGGAGUCAGCCAUAGUGGGAGUCACGCAGCCCAUCCUUUGAAGUCAGGGAACAGUUUCCAAGUGCCAUUUGUGCCCCUGGCUUAGUUUGCAUACAUGGCAUUACAUCACCCAACAAAGCGGCCUUCAGUCAGGCCCCGCACAAUGGUGAGGGGUUGGCGGUGCUCCAUGGGGGGUUAAUAGUUGCCCUGGGAACGCCACAUUCCAGCAUCAGCUGCUAAUGUGCAAAGCAUGCUGUUCAGGGCUGGCCAGGAGCAGAGCAUGGGAAAAUUCUUGCAUACUUUAUGAGACAGAAACAAACCUACUUUCAACAGAACAACAGCAACGCGUAAUCCCCCCCACCUCACCCACCCCUCUGCUACCGAAACGCUGCGGACCUUUGUGUGAGGGCUAGGAGGUUUGUGCUUCAGGGUGUUUUGCCAAUAAAAACAAAACAAAACAACAACAACAACAAAAAAAAACCAGGUUCCAAUCCAAGACUGAAUUUUCCACGUCUUGGGAGAGGAAUGAGCUUAGUGUUGAGCGUCUUAAGCGUAAUUUCACAGUGUAUCCAUACAGCCUUGGCCAGGCCAACGUAUGGGAGUUUAACACCUGAACAAGAGGAGCGCCAGCUGACCUGGCAUCAUGAAGCAGCUGUUUCUCUCCUUCAGUCCUUCUUUCUCUCCUCUUCUGCACUGCCAGCUCAAUGCUCUGAAAAGCAGCACUGCAACAUCGCAUAGUUGCCCCCAGAGCCCCUUCAUGGCAAGGUGCUAUUUCUGCAUGCAACCACUUCUUUUUUUGCGGGAAAAAAGCAAGACCAAAGAAGGCAAAAUGGCAUUGAAGACAGCUUCUGACUGCAAAGUUUAGUAAGGGUGUAUGCAUCUGUGUGUGCAUGCAUAGGAUUCUCAGUCUGUCCCCUCAUACAGGCAGAGCUGGCUUCAGCGCAGGCAAAUCUGGAGCACUGAAGUACUACAACCCUCCCUUUUUUGUCUCAGAUAGCAUCCUUAGGAAAAGAUAAUGGGCAGAGUUUGUGCACCUGGUUUGCAGUUGGGGCUGCAAGUGGAGCCUGAUGCUGGCAGUGCUGCAUCUCCGUGCCCCUGGAUGCGGCUGCUGGAAAUGUAUUUGGUGACAGGCCUUCGCCUGCUGGUAAUCCAGUGGAUACUGUGUGUUACUAGAAUGGGAGCACAUGGCAAACUCUUAAAAGGAACAUUGGUUUCAAAUCUCCCAAUCCCAUCUGUGCGAUGGUGGUGCUACAGCUGCAUGCUAUAAAAGCUGCAUGCUGUAAAAAAGACUCUUUUAACUAAAGACUUGAGAGAAGAUUUGCUUUUGUCUCCCCAGCUUGUUUACUCUGUAAAUGUGAUGUUAUGCAUUGUCAGUUCAGCUAUUUCCCCCCCUGCAGUCUUGUUCUGGAGAUGCUUUAUAUCUUGCUUUCACACAGCAUCUGAGGAGAGAAGCUGCUGUGCCGUAUGCCUGUCAAACUCCUACAGUAAAUUAGCAGGCCAGUUCGUAGAUAGAGCACUCGGUGCUACUUUAAACUUACUCUUUUAAUUCCUGUAGGAAGAGGAUGCAAUAUUUUUGAUCUAACAAGAGCUCUGAAGCUGGAUUUACAUUACCAAACUGUGGCCUGGAUUCUUCCUGGGUCUCUGGAUAACCUGAGACACAGCUCUAGUAAGUCCCUUUCACCUGUAGUUUGGUGCCUUUAAACCACAUUGGCUGUGACUGAAUACCGCUGCUGUCCCUCUCCUCCUGACACUUCUCUUCAUCCAGUUGCUCCUCAGUUGAGUGGUCUUUGCAGGCUGCCUUCCCCAGGAAAGAAUCAUUCCUGAGCUGUAAGAGCCCAGCCCUGGCUAUGUGCAGUGGUACACAGAUGUUCUACAACAUGCCUGGAAGCAGUCCAGCAAUAUUCGCACAUCACUGGAUUUAACAGUUUCAGAUGUCUCCACAUCAUGUUCCCCAUCAUGUCUGAAUCUGUUCCCAUGGGAAGGCAGACACCCCAGACAGAAAGGCCAGGCAGGAUGGAAGGAAAGCCUGUCAUCUGGAACCUUCCUCCCCCAGGCACCUGCAGUGCCCCAAGGACAAGGUCUCAAGGACUGUUCCUCUUCGAGCACAGGCAGAGAGCAGUCUCCAGCUGCCAGUUCUGCUCUCCAUCUCCUUCAGGUAUCUCCGCACCACCAGCUAAGCCACAAUCAGCAAAAAUAUGGUGUCUGUCAAACAAUCAACAUAUGUUUGUAUGAAGCAAAUGGAUUGUCUGGGGAUAUCUGUGUGAAUGUUACAAAAUCUGCUCCUAAACUGAAAAAGAGGGAAACAUACUGAAGAACAUGUUUUCUCCACAAAACAGCUUUCUGAUGAGCACUGUUUCCCAGUGAUUGUGACGGCCCACAAGAACUUUCAGCUGUUGGUCCUUCAGGUCACCGUGGGCUUUUUGUCUGUCCGUGGCUGUGAGAACAGCUCCUGCAAUUUGGAAUUGACCAACCUGUGCAGCCUACCCCGGGGCUGAGCUGCUGGCUGCAGCAGAGGAUGGGUUUGUGCUGCAAGGAGCAGUGCUCAGCGGAAGCCCAUCUGGUGCAAGGUUUUCAAGCUGCUUUGCUCAGCCACUUGAGUGUGCCACUCCAUUCCCAGCACUUCUCUGCAUGGAGAGACUGGGCUGGGCAUUGCAGAGAUGUUUUCUUCAUGAGAAGGACUUUCCCGAGACACUGCAGCUGGUGGAAGGGCUGAGUAAAGGUGGUAAUGCCACUAGUUCUGGGAGACGUAUUGCUUCACUCUGUCAGUGAGUGUAAAUCCACCACUGCUAUGAACAUUGCACAAGCACAUCCCUUCUUGGAAAAUAAAA
ensembl:lncRNA